GGGAGGCAGCAGUGGGGAAUAUUGCACAAUGGGCGCAAGCCUGAUGCAGCCAUGCCGCGUGUAUGAAGAAGGCCUUCGGGUUGUAAAGUACUUUCAGCAGUGAGGAAGGUGGGUAUGUUAAUAGCAUACUCAUUUGACGUUAGCUGCAGAAGAAGCACCGGCUAACUCCGUGCCAGCAGCCGCGGUAAUACGGAGGGUGCGAGCGUUAAUCGGAAUUACUGGGCGUAAAGCGCAUGCAGGUGGUUUGUUAAGUCAGAUGUGAAAGCCCGGGGCUCAACCUCGGAAUUGCAUUUGAAACUGGCAAACUAGAGUACUGUAGAGGGGGUAGAAUUUCAGGUGUAGCGGUGAAAUGCGUAGAGAUCUGAAGGAAUACCGGUGGCGAAGGCGGCCCCCUGGACAGAUACUGACACUCAGAUGCGAAAGCGUGGGGAGCAAACAGGAUUAGAUACCCUGGUAG
rnacentral:rRNA from 1 species